AGUGAACGCUGGCGGUAGGCCUAACACAUGCAAGUCGAACGGCAGCACAGGAGAGCUUGCUCUCUGGGUGGCGAGUGGCGGACGGGUGAGGAAUACAUCGGAAUCUACUCUGUCGUGGGGGAUAACGUAGGGAAACUUACGCUAACACCGCAUACGCACUACGGGUGAAAGCAGGGGAACUUCGGACCUUUCGCGAUUGAAUGAGCCGAUGUAGGAGUAGCUAGUUGGCGGGGUAAAGGCCCACCAAGGCGACGAUCCGUAGCUGGUCUGAGAGGACGAUCAGCCACACUGGAACUGAGACACGGUCCAGACUCCUACGGGAGGCAGCAGUGGGGAAUAUUGGACAAUGGGCGCAAGCCUGAUCCAGCCAUACCGCGUGGGUGAAGAAGGCCUUCGGGUUGUAAAGCCCUUUUGUUGGGAAAGAAAUCCAGCUGGCUAAUACCCGGUUGGGAUGACGGUACCCAAAGAAUAAGCACCGGCUAACUUCGUGCCAGCCGCCGCCGUAA
rnacentral:rRNA from 1 species